CGAGGGCUGCGUUCCCCUCCUUAUCCCAACGCCCGUCGCGUUUUGCAGUGCGGCAGCACCCUCUUCUGUCAAUCCCUAUGUGGUCGAAGCCGCCGGUGCUUGCAAUGUCAGGCAGCAGCACCAAGAGCUAUGCCACAGAAUCCUCAGCACUUUGCAAACGAGGAAAUGAAAACAAAGGAAGGGAGAAAUUAAAAAGCCCGGCAGAAAGGAUAAAACUGGGGACAUCUGAUCUGGAAUGCUACCAUUACGGUGCUCUCGUGACAUUCGUACUGCAGUACUGACUUGGGAGGCUGCCCUACUUCAGUGGCAUCGGUAGUGAUCUGUGUCCUCAGCUGCACCUUUCCAACGUGAUCACCCCUUUCUGGUUCCAAGCAUCAAUCAAUCUCUCAUCCUGCUGAAUCCACCUCAGCUUGGCAACUUCCUGUCACAGCCUGGUCAGCUGCUCUAAAAGAUGACCAAGUUGGGCACACACCUGCACCCACAACACCCCUCACCUACCUCAGGCCCUUGGGUGACCUCCAGAUUCCAGAGGCUGAAUGGCAAGAAUGUGCUUGAAGGUGCAGCACAGGAACUGCAAGUCAGCUGGAUGCAGAAGGACCAUUAGCUCCCAAGAUUGCUUUAAGGUCAGUUUCAGGGCUUCAGUUCUCCCUGGUCAUGCUGUCACUCAUGGUAAAGAUCAGAUUUAUGACCUUUGUCCAUUGCUUUAAGGCCACAGAAGUGCACAGGCAUGACUCUGCUCCGAUUAUGGGUUUUUUUUUUUCUUGGCUCCAAAAUACUGUGUUUUUCACUGUUUUUCUCCCACCUCUCCUGUGCUGACUGGCAGGUGGCUGCCACGCUUACCAUGUUCUGCUAUUGUUACAGACCCUAUGUGAUCACACUCAAAGUAUUUCAUAGUUUUCAUUGCCUCCCCCGCGACAGAACAGGAGGUCAUUAUUUGGAGGACUGAGGACAGUCAGGAUCCUGCCCGCUCCCUGACCUUUCAGAUAACUGGUUAUUCAUGCAAAUAUUGCAGAAAUGCUGUUCUGGAGAGGACAAAACAUUCUUACUGGAAUAUCG
rnacentral:lncRNA from 1 species